AGAGUUUGAUCAUGGCUCAGAUUGAACGCUGGCGGCAGGCCUAACACAUGCAAGUCGAACGGUAACAUUUCUAGCUUGCUAGAAGAUGACGAGUGGCGGACGGGUGAGUAAUACUUAGGAAUAUGCCUUUGUGUGGGGGAUAACUAUUGGAAACGAUAGCUAAUACCGCAUAACGUCUUCGGACCAAAGGGGGCUUCGGCUCCCGCGCAAAGAGUAGCCUAAGCGAGAUUAGCUUGUUGGUGAGGUAAAGGCUCACCAAGGCGACGAUCUCUAGCUGUUCUGAGAGGAAGAUCAGCCACACUGGAACUGAGACACGGUCCAGACUCCUACGGGAGGCAGCAGUGGGGAAUAUUGCACAAUGGGCGAAAGCCUGAUGCAGCCAUGCCGCGUGUGUGAAGAAGGCCUUCGGGUUGUAAAGCACUUUCAGUUGUGAGGAAAGGUUAACGGUUAAUACCCGUUAGCUGUGACGUUAGCAACAGAAGAAGGACCGGCUAACUCCGUGCCAGCAGCCGCGGUAAUACGGAGGGUCCGAGCGUUAAUCGGAAUUACUGGGCGUAAAGCGCACGCAGGCGGUUUGUUAAGCUAGAUGUGAAAGCCCUGGGCUCAACCUGGGAAUUGCAUUUAGAACUGGCAGGCUAGAGUUUUGGAGAGGGGAGUGGAAUUCCAGGUGUAGCGGUGAAAUGCGUAGAUAUCUGGAGGAACAUCAGUGGCGAAGGCGACUCCCUGGUCAGUAACUGACGCUCAUGUGCGAAAGUGUGGGUAGCGAACAGGAUUAGAUACCCUGGUAGUCCACACCGUAAACGCUGUCUACUAGCUGUUUGUGGAUUUAAUCCGUGAGUAGCGAAGCUAACGCGAUAAGUAGACCGCCUGGGGAGUACGGCCGCAAGGUUAAAACUCAAAUGAAUUGACGGGGGCC
rnacentral:rRNA from 1 species